AGAUUCUGGACAGAAAAUGCCCCAAAUGGAUGAAGAAAUCAUGGCAUCGCUUCGUGGUAAGCUUCUAGAAAUGAUCAAGUUAGUGAAGGAGUGCGUCCAGUGUGUCCGAUCACUGAUUCCCUCACCUGGCGGGACCCCCUCAUCAGCAUCCGGUUCAAAUACUUUGGUCAAUGAAAUUGAAAUGCACCCCUUGACUGGAAGUGUGGUAACCGUACCAAAGAGGGCCUUCCAGCGCCUAAACAGAUCCAGAAUGACCAUUUUUGCCCAGGGGCUGGCUGUUCUGGUCUUCAGCAAGGAACUUCUUGCAGAGUCCACCCGGACAGGGAAAUCUGGGGAAAAGGGCCCCCAAAAAAGACAGCUGGAUGUUGCCAAAGUGCAUGCCAUAACAGAUGCUGUUAUUGCCGAAUUUCCGCACACAAGUGCAUCUGAUGUGCGAGCGGCCAUCAGGCGCAAGUGCAAUAAUGAACAUUUCAGUAAAAAAAAGUGAAUGCGCAGUUUGAGACCACUGUUUCAAAUGUUUUUUGUUUUUUUCUUUCAGAGUUCUUUUAAUUUAGAAACGAGGUACAUUUAGUUAUGUUUUAUAAUCUUAAAACCAUGUGAGAUAUCAAUAAACACAGUUUGAGUUAAUACCA